GACGAACGCUGGCGGCGUGCUUAACACAUGCAAGUCGAACGGAAAGGCCCCUUUGGGGGUCCUCGAGUGGCGAACGGGGGAGUAACACGUGAGUAACCUGCCCUUGACUUCGGGAUAACUUCAGGAAACUGGGGCUAAUACCGGAUAGGAAUCCUUGCUGCAUGGGGGGGGUUGGAAAGCUUCGGCGGUUUUGGAUGGACUCGCGGCUUAUCAGCUUGUUGGGGGGGUAGUGGCUUACCAAGGCUUUGACGGGUAGCCGGCCUGAGAGGGCGACCGGCCACCUUGGGACUGAGGGACGGCCCCGACUCCGACGGGAGGCAGCAGGGGGGAAGAUUGCACAAUGGGCGGAAGCCUGAUGCAGCAACGCCGCGUGCGGGAGGACGGCCUUAGGGUUGUAAACCGAUUUCAGCAGGGGCGAAGCUUGUGGUGACGGUACCUGCAGAAGAAGCACCGGCUAACUACGUG
rnacentral:rRNA from 1 species